rnacentral:rRNA from 1 species
UAAACGAUGGAUACUUGCUGUUGGGCUUUCGGGUUCAGUGGCUAAGCGAAAGUUAUAAGUAUCCCACCUGGGGAGUACGUUCGCAAGAAUGAAACUCAAAGGAAUUGACGGGGGCCCGCACAAGCGGUGGAGCAUGUGGUUUAAUUCGAUGAUACGCGAGGAACCUUACCAAGGCUUAAAUGCAAUUUGACAGAUCUAGAAAUAGAUUUUUCUUCGGACAGACUGCAAGGUGCUGCAUGGCUGUCGUCAG